rnacentral:rRNA from 1 species
GACGAACGCUGGCGGCGUGCUUAACACAUGCAAGUCGAACGGUGAAGCCCUUCGGGGUGGAUCAGUGGCGAACGGGUGAGUAACACGUGAGCAACCUGCCCCUGGCUCUGGGACAACCACUGGAAACGGUGGCUAAUACCGGAUACGACCCGCCUCGGCAUCGAGUGUGGGUGGAAAGUUUUUCGGCCGGGGAUGGGCUCGCGGCCUAUCAGCUUGUUGGUGAGGUGAAGGCUCACCAAGGCGACGACGGGUAGCCGGCCUGAGAGGGCGACCGGCCACACUGGGACUGAGACACGGCCCAGACUCCUACGGGAGGCAGCAGUGGGGAAUAUUGCACAAUGGGCGAAAGCCUGAUGCAGCGACGCCGCGUGAGGGAUGACGGCCUUCGGGUUGUAAACCUCUUUCAGCUCCGAAGAAGCGAAAGUGACGGUAGGAGCAGAAGAAGCACCGGCUAACUACGUG